rnacentral:lncRNA from 1 species
UUUAGUCUUGUAAUUGCAAUGGCUCAGAAGUCAGAAGUGAGAUUAUCACUCUCUAUAAACUUGGUCAUCAUAUCGCACUGAGACACAAAGUUUUGAAGAAAUACGAGACUGUUGGGUUUGUUUUCUUUGAUUUUUCUCAUUGUUUGAGCCCUUCUCUCUCUCUCACCCCUAACGCAUUCAUGGGAAAGACUGAGUACUUAACACUCGGAAACGGUAUUGCUCUCAUAAUCAUCAGUGCUAUAGGUAAUCGAUCUAUAUAUCUCUCUUUAUUAAUAAUUCGAUUAAUGUUAUGUGAAUUAAAUUUCAUAUAUCAGAAAUCAUCAAUAUUGUUAAUUAUCAAUUAGUUGCUUAUUUGUGUGAUGGUGCUUGCAGUUACAAGGCUGCUGAGGAGGAAAAUAACGGUUUCCUCUCCCCAAGAUGAUGAAAUCCUCGACACAGUUUGUGAAAUGUCAGCAUCAUCGGCGGAAUGUGACGAAGCAUGCGCAAACGACGAUGAUAACGACGACGAUGAACCCAUAAAAAUGGAGUAUGAUACUGCCAAUCUAUGGCGGUUGAGAGAGAAGACCGGCGGCGGCAGGCAUAAGAUUUGAGGUUGAGACAUCCCAUAACUCUAGCUAUAAUCUCCUGCUCUUUGUCUGUUUGGGAGAAUAAUUUUGUCAAUUUGAUGUUCUAAUUUACUUUGUAUUUCCUUUCGUUUACAUGUCUUUCUCUCUUUUUCACUACAAAUUGCCAUGCCCUUCUUUGCUCUCCGUUUCAUCAUUGCUCAUCUCUCUUGACAUAUAAAAAAAAUCUAGUUUUUUUUUUUUUUGUUAAGUGUAGUUUAUGGUCCAAACAUCAAAAAAAGAUACUAUGUAUUUUGAAUUUAUUUGUAAAAAUUAUUGCAAUAAUAAAAUUGUCUACAUCUUUUAUGAAAGUUGUAAAAAAUGGCAUAA